rnacentral:rRNA from 1 species
UACGUAGGGUGCAAGCGUUGUCCGGAAUUAUUGGGCGUAAAGAGCUCGUAGGCGGUCUGUUGCGUCGGCUGUGAAAACCCGGGGCUCAACCCCGGGCCUGCAGCCGAUACGGGCAGACUAGAGUUCGGCAGGGGAGACUGGAAUUCCUGGUGUAGCGGUGAAAUGCGCAGAUAUCAGGAGGAACACCGGUGGCAAAGGCGGGUCUCUGGGCCGAUACUGACGCUGAGGAGCGAAAGCGUGGGGAGCGAACAGG